GAUGAAGAACGUAGCGAAAUGCGAUAAAUAAUGUGAAUUGCAGAAUUCAGUGAAUCAUCGAAUCUUUGAACGCACCUUGCGCUCCUUGGUAUUCCGAGGAGCAUGCCUGUUUGAGUGUCAUGAAACUCUCACCCUCUAGCUUUCUUAAUCGUGGCUAGCGGCGUGGACGUGAGCGCUGCUGCUUUAUUGCGGCUCGCUCGAAAUGUAUUAGCAGACCCUUUUCGUAAUCGGUUCCACUCAACGUGAUAAGUAUUUCGUUGAGGACAGUUGCAGCAAUGCGGCUGGCCGGGAUAAGAAAGGUAUAGUUGUCAGCUUCUAAUCGCCCUUGGGCAAUUUUUUAUGAUCUGGCCUCAAAUCAGGUAGGACUACCCGCUGAACUUAAGCAUAUCAAUAAGCGGAGGA
rnacentral:misc_RNA from 1 species